AUUGAACGCUGGCGGCAGGCCUAACACAUGCAAGUCGAGCGGAUGAGAGGAGCUUGCUCCUCGAUUCAGCGGCGGACGGGUGAGUAAUGCCUAGGAAUCUGCCUAGUAGUGGGGGACAACGUUUCGAAAGGAACGCUAAUACCGCAUACGUCCUACGGGAGAAAGUGGGGGAUCUUCGGACCUCACGCUAUUAGAUGAGCCUGGGUCGGAUUAGCUAGUUGGUAGGGUAAAGGCCUACCAAGGCGACGAUCCGUAACUGGUCUGAGAGGAUGAUCAGUCACACUGGAACUGAGACACGGUCCAGACUCCUACGGGAGGCAGCAGUGGGGAAUAUUGGACAAUGGGCGCAAGCCUGAUCCAGCCAUGCCGCGUGUGUGAAGAAGGCCCUCGGGUCGUAAAGCACUUUAAGUUGGGAGGAAGGGCUUACAGCGAAUACCUGUGAGUUUUGACGUUACCGACAGAAUAAGCACCGGCUAACUUCGUGCCAGCAGCCGCAGUAA
rnacentral:rRNA from 1 species